rnacentral:rRNA from 1 species
UACUAGAGUAGCACUCGCAUAUCAAUAAGCGGAGGAAAAGAAACUAACAAGGAUUCCCCUAGUAACGGCGAGUGAAGCGGGAAGAGCUCAAAUUUGAAAUCUUAAAGGGUUUCCCUUUACGAAUUGUAGUUUAAAGAAGUGUUUUCUGUUGAGGUUUUGGUAAAAGUUCUUUGGAAUAGGACAUCAUAGAGGGUGAGAAUCCCGUAUUUGACCUUUACUUUCAACUUUGUGAUACACUUUCAAAGAGUCGGAUUGUUUGGGAAUGCAGUCCAAAAUGGGUGGUAAAUUUCAUCCUAAAGCUAAAUAUUGGCGAGAGACCGAUAGCGAACAAGUACCGUGAGGGAAAGAUGAAAAGAACUUUGAAAAGAGAGUUAAACAGUACGUGAAAUUGUCAAAAGGGAAGCGUUUGACACCAGUGUUGUUUUUCUGAAAAUCAAUUAAAGAACUGUUUAUGCUAAGCUGUUUAGACUUUAUCAGCUAUCUGUUUAGUUUUAGGCUUUUCUUUAAUGCACUUUUCAGUUAACAAGUCAACAUCAAUUUCUUUUGCUGUAAAAAAGCUUGAGGAAGGUGGCUUGAGAUUCGUCUUAAGUGUUUAUAGCCUCUUGCCUAUGCAGUCGGAGAGAUUGAGGUCUGCAGCGUAGAUCCUUCGGGGCUAAAUGCAUUUGUGCUAAGUUAUAGCAUUUUAUAGACAACUUGUUGACUAUGAUUUGUCUUGUAGCUUACUCGCUUAUGUUAUUUUACCUACGCUUAGGAUGUUGAGCGCAUGUCUCUCUCU